rnacentral:rRNA from 1 species
AUUGAACGCUGGCGGCAUGCUUUACACAUGCAAGUCGAACGGUAACAGGCCGCAAGGUGCUGACGAGUGGCGAACGGGUGAGUAAUGCAUCGGAACGUGCCCGGUCGUGGGGGAUAACGCAGCGAAAGCUGCGCUAAUACCGCAUACGAUCUAUGGAUGAAAGCGGGGGACCGUAAGGCCUCGCGCGAUUGGAGCGGCCGAUGUCAGAUUAGGUAGUUGGUGGGGUAAAGGCUCACCAAGCCGACGAUCUGUAGCUGGUCUGAGAGGACGACCAGCCACACUGGGACUGAGACACGGCCCAGACUCCUACGGGAGGCAGCAGUGGGGAAUUUUGGACAAUGGGCGCAAGCCUGAUCCAGCAAUGCCGCGUGCAGGAAGAAGGCCUUCGGGUUGUAAACUGCUUUUGUACGGAACGAAACGGUCUGGGUUAAUACCCUGGGCUAAUGACGGUACCGUAAGAAUAAGCACCGGCUAACUACGUGCCAGCCGCCGCAGUAAAAC